rnacentral:rRNA from 1 species
AGAGUGAACGCUGGCGGCAGGCCUAACACAUGCAAGUCGAACGGCAGCACAGAGGGGCUUGCUCCUUGGGUGGCGAGUGGCGGACGGGUGAGGAAUACAUCGGAAUCUGCCUUAUCGUGGGGGAUAACGUAGGGAAACUUACGCUAAUACCGCAUACGACCUACGGGUGAAAGCGGAGGACCUUCGGGCUUCGCGCGAUAAGAUGAGCCGAUGUCGGAUUAGCUAGUUGCGGGGUAAAGCCACCAAGGCUACGAUCCGUAGCUGGUCUGAGAGGAUGAUCAGCCACACUGGAACUGAGACACGGUCCAGACUCCUACGGGAGCAGCAGUGGGAAUAUUGGACAA